UGGCCUUGACAUGCAGAGAACUUUCCAGAGAUGGAUUGGUGCCUUCGGGAACUCUGACACAGGUGCUGCAUGGCCGUCGUCAGCUCGUGUCGUGAGAUGUUGGGUUAAGUCCCGUAACGAGCGCAACCCCUAUCCCUAGUUGCUAGCAGUUCGGCUGAGAACUCUAGGGAGACUGCCGGUGACAAACCGGAGGAAGGUGGGGAUGACGUCAGGUCAUCAUGGCCCUUACGGCCAGGGCUACACACGUGCUACAAUGGUGCGCACAGAGGGCUGCAAACCCGCGAGGGGGAGCCAAUCUCACAAAACGCAUCGUAGUCCGGAUCGCAGUCUGCAACUCGACUGCGUGAAGUCGGAAUCGCUAGUAAUCGUGAAUCAGAAUGUCACGGUGAAUACGUUCCCGGGCCU
rnacentral:rRNA from 1 species